rnacentral:sRNA from 1 species
AUUUCCCUUCUAUUACCUAGGUAAUGUACUCGUAUCCUGCGCUGUUUGUUUUGAUCGUUUGCUACCACCUUCCCAAUAAACCCUAGUGACUUGAGUCAGCACUUGCACGGCUAGAACAACAUCCAGGAUAGACAAAGACGUGUUCUCCUCAACAUCCUCCCCAACUGUUAUCUGAAUCACGGAAAAUAAAUCCUAGGGCAGGGUAUGGACGGCAGUACCAACCGAAGGAAGGACACAAUCCAUUGUCUAUCGCAUCGUCUUGACUACCUCUUCUAUUGUUUCAUAGCCGAAAUUUUGAAUUUUUACUCUCUAGUGGGGCUGAUGAAAUUGCUGGUGGUUAAUGUAUUUAGGGCGAACUGACAUGCAAUCCACUGUAAAAGGAUGAAUGAGUGCAAAGCCGUCAUGUUGCUUGAGCAAAAGGAGGGAAGUGUAGUAUAGGAUAUUAAUCAACUUACGAUAGGAAUAUGCGGGGCCGAGAAAACAUGGCAGGGGCAGUGACGCAAGAAAUGGGAAUAUCAGCUUGUCUAACGUCCCGUUCUUCAACUAAUGCCUGCUAGUAGUUCUGAUCCUCGACGGACAUAUUCGCAUCUGACAGAUAUAAAUUUCGG